CUAUAAAUAGCUUAUUUUGAAAGUUUAGGAUUCUUACUCCUGAGAUGUGUUGAGACACUUUAUAGG
rnacentral:tRNA from 1 species